AAAUAAUAAAUAGCAAGGUAAAUAAUUUAUCAAUCUAAUAGAAUAUUAUACACCAAUUUUAAAUUAUUGCUAUCAAGCCCAUGUGGUGACAUGGAAAGAAAUAUUUUAAUAUAAGCUUUUAGAAAACCUACCAUUUGGCCAGGUGUGGUGGCUCACACCUGUAAUCCCAGCACUUUGGGAGGCCGAGGCGGACGGAUCACGUGAGCUCAGGAGUUCAAUAUCAGCCUGGCCAACAUGGUGAAACCAGUCUCUACUAAAAAUAGAAAAAUUAGUUGGGCAUGGUGCUAUACACCUGUAGUGCCAGGUACUCAGGUGUCUGAGACACAAGAAUAGAAUCGCUUAAACCUAGGAGGCAGAGGUUGCAGUGAGCUGAGAUCGUGCCACUGCACUCCAGCCUUGGCAACAAAGGGAGAUUGUCUCAAAAAAAAAAAAAAAAAUGAAAUUUCCAGCUGGGUGUGGUGGUUCACACCUGUAAUCCCAGCACUUUGGGAAGCUGAGAUGGGAGGAUCCCUUGAGGCCAGGAGUUUGAGACCAGUCUGGGCAACAUAGUUGAGACUUGUCUCUUUUAUUAAAAAAACAAAAUUUUAGCAGGGGAUGGUGGGUACAUACCUGUAGUCCCAGCCACUCUGGGCUAAGAUGGGAGGAUCACAGAAGCCCAGGAGAGGAGGUUGAGGCUGCAGUGAGCUAUAGUCAUACCACCACACUCCCACCUGAGCAACAGAGUGAGGCCCUGUCCCUUUAAUUAAAAAAAAAAAAAAAAAGUUAAAAUAAAAAUUCAGAUUUCCCUGUCUCAUUGAAAGUUUCAUUUUUAUUUUUUAAAAAUAAAAGUAUUAGUCUUUGUUUAAUUCAAGGGAGAUAUUUAUUGAGCGAAUACUUGAAAUUACAUUUACAUGGAUGGGAACAGUGCCUAUUGUUUUACCAAACAAUAAAGUCGUGAAAUGGAGUCACUUUUAAGGAGGGGCCAGGCAAUUUCUGGCUGGGUGUGUUUGUUUUCAUUGUCUUUUUUGUGUUUUGCAAAAGCCAGCCAGUGUCAAUCUUAUAAAAGCAGAGUUUCUAAGAAAUAUUAGUUUUAAAAUGCAAUUGCCACCAUCAAUGCCUUCCCUUCCAGCUGAGAAUCUGAAUUUAUGACUUCUAAUAUUAGUUGGUUUUAAAAUGCAAUGCCACCAUUGGUGCGUUCCCUUCCAGCUGAGACAUCUGAAUUUAUGACUUCUACAAUCCUUUAUCUAUAUGAUCUCAGAAACAUGGAUUUUCAUCUUCAGAAACAGGAGCGAAGCUGGACUGAAAAUAAGAUCAUCUAUUUAUUUUUAAUCACAAAGACAUCCCUUCAUUAAAAUGGGCAUCUAUUUGUUUAGUUUGUCCCCUUUGCCAGUUACUGCUGUUUCAAAAACUGAAAUCGUGCCAACAGUAUUUUCUCUUUUGAGUUUUAUGUCUACAUUUGGACUAAUUCAGGGUCACUUAGUCCUUUUUGUCAUAUUCUACUGGCUAUUUAUAAUAGAUUUGUCCAGAAACUGUGUUGUACAAAAAUAAGGCAUUGUGCUUAAUUGCAGGAGUUUUCCUUUGCUAAUGUAUAUUCAUUAUUUGAAAAAAUUAAACGUUUCAAAGAAAAUAAAAAAUGCUUUUAAAAAAUUAUUUUGUUAUAUAUGGCUUAUAUCUCAACAUUUGGUCUUGAUUAUUUGCUUUUUAAACUCAUGACACUGUUUUCUCUAUUUUUUUCAUUGUCCUGCAAUUUCAGAGCAUGUGACUUCUAAUGCCAGCGAUAGUGAAAGUAGUUACCUAAUCUUGAUUACAGAUGAGUAUGGCUGCCCAAAAGGUGGUCAAGAAGAAUACGUCUUAUCUUAUGAACCAGUGAAUCAACAAGAAGUUAAUUAUACUCGACCAGUGAUCAUAUUGGGACCUAUGAAAGACAGGAUAAAUGAUGACUUGAUCUCAGAAUUUCCUGACAAAUUUGGAUCCUGUGUUCCUCAUACAACUAGACCAAAACGAGAUUAUGAGGUAGAUGGAAGAGAUUAUCAUUUUGUGACUUCAAGAGAGCAGAUGGAAAAAGAUAUCCAGGAACAUAAAUUCAUUGAAGCUGGCCAGUAUAACAAUCAUCUAUAUGGAACAAGUGUUCAGUCUGUGCGAGAAGUAGCAGAAAAGGGCAAACACUGUAUCCUUGAUGUGUCUGGAAAUGCCAUAAAGAGAUUACAGAUUGCACAGCUUUACCCUAUCUCCAUUUUUAUUAAACCCAAAUCCAUGGAAAAUAUCAUGGAAAUGAAUAAGCGUCUAACAGAAGAACAAGCCAGAAAAACAUUUGAGAGAGCUAUGAAACUGGAACAGGAGUUUACUGAACAUUUCACAGCUAUUGUACAGGGGGAUACGCUGGAAGACAUUUACAACCAAGUGAAACAGAUCAUAGAAGAACAGUCUGGUUCUUACAUCUGGGUUCCAGCAAAAGAAAAGUUAUGAAAACUCACGUUUCUCUGUUUAUCUUUUCCACAAUUCCAUUUUCUUUGGCAUCUCUUUGCCCUUUCCUCUGGAGUCUUUCUUGAGUACUGAUUUCAUAUUGAAUUGUAUCCCACACAUCAUGGUCUGCAGCUUCUUUUUCACAUGUAGUGUCUCCUUCAAGUUACAUCGCAUAUUAUUUAAUGUCACUAUUGGUUAGUGGCCAUGUUUCAGAACUGAAGAUGGAAUGGCCUGACCAGCUAUUAAGAAUUUGGGGAGACGCAGAAAUUGUGGUAAAAUUCCUUAAUGUUUAAGGGAAAGUAAUUUUAAGAGAUUUUUGGAAAAGCUUUAUAUACAUUCUUUUCAAAUUUCAGUACAAAUGAAAAAGUGGUUUUAAUCAGUGAUUUAGUAGACUGAGCAACUAUGCACGCUUAAGUUUAAUAGCAUGGUUUGGCCAAUGUAUUACUCUCAAGUCCUUUUCUCAAUCAGCUUCUAUCAUCAAAGCAAUUGUUGCAUUAUAGAGAAAUAAGGAAAACAUUUUUUAAUUUAAAAAUUCAUGUCUGAGUUGACUUUCAUAAGGGAUUUCAUUUUUCCUCAGCAUUCUUAAAGCCUUUUAGUAUUUGAGGGUUCUUUUUUCCCAGGACAUUUGCUAGGAAUAACAACGUUUCAAUGUUUUUAAUCUACUUGAGCAACACUAUCGUGUCUUACAAAAGUUGUUCAUAUGUAAAUGAUCAUCACAUUUUGUGAGUUGAGGCCAUGUUCAGGUGCUAAGGAAGUUCACCUUUUACACAGAAGGUUGAGAAGAUUUCCUAAUCAGACAUUACAGUGGUGAUGUAGUAACCAUAAUGGCAAUGGAAAGGAGCCCAAUCAUAGCCUAAAACUUAAAAUGUAUUCUUAGGAGUCAGAUUUUACUGAAUAUUUUACCCACAAUAGCUGCCUAUUUUGUUAUAAUAAAAUAUAUAUAAAUAUAUAUAUAAAACUUUCUUUAACUAAACUGUAACUAUGGGAAUUAUUUUCUUUACAUAGUUGCGCACACACACAAACAUAUAUAUAUAUAUAUUUAAAAUAUAUUUUGUUUCUUUUGCCACCUACUCCUUUUUGUUUGGUUUUUAAGUUAAAUAUUAAUUGAAUAGACUUAUCUUCCUUAAUCAUGUGAAAUUGGGGCAUGCAUGGUGGUCAUGAGGAGGAAACAUUUAGGGAAAUUAGAUUAUAAGUAAAAGUAUGGGCAUAUUCUCCUCUUUUCUACAAAAGUUUUCAAAUGGUUCCUGAGGUUUUUUUGUUGUUGUUCUUGUUAUUGUUGUUAUUGUUGUUCUUGUCACCUGGUUUGAUUUUGGUCCUUGCCCUUUCCUUCUAGUUCUCCUUUUAUUAAUAGGAGGGCAGGCAAAAGCCCCAUUUAUGUGUGUGUUUUCCCCUCAGACAGCUUUCAUCCACUGCUCUGCACUAGAAUUGCACAAAUCUUCAUGGUGAGCAAUUUUAAGAAUUGUUAGUGAAAGGUAGAAAUUAUUUCAGAAAUCAGUUUCUCUGGUCCUUCAUAUUAAUAAUAAUAUUUGGCUUCCCAUUGCUCUUUGGAGUUGUUUAUUAAAUAUGUGUUUUUGACAACCUC
rnacentral:sRNA from 1 species